rnacentral:rRNA from 1 species
GGCUCAGGACGAACGCUGGCGGCGUGCUUAACACAUGCAAGUCAGGGGGCUCAGCAAUGGGUCACCGGCGAACGGGUGCGUAACACGUGAGCGACCUGCCCAAGUGUGGGGGAUAGCCGGCCCAACGGCCGGGUAAUACCGCAUACGCUUCCUUUGGGGCAUACCUAGGGAAGGAAACCUUCGGGGCACAUGGAGGGGCUCGCGGCCUAUCAGCUAGUUGGCGGGGUAAUGGCCCACCAAGGCGAUGACGGGUAGCUGGUCUGAGAGGAUGGCCAGCCACAUUGGGACUGAGAAACGGCCCAGACUCCUACGGGAGGCAGCAGUGGGGAAUCUUGCGCAAUGGCCGAAAGGCUGACGCAGCGACGCCGCGUGGGGGAGGAAGGUCUUCGGAUUGUAAACCCCUGUUGCCCGGGACGAAUGACCCUUUCGAGGGGAGUGACGGUACCGGGUGAGGAAGCACCGGCUAACUCUGUGCCAGCAGCCGCGGUAAUACAGAGGGUGCGAGCGUUGUCCGGAAUCACUGGGCGUAAAGGGCGCGUAGGUGGCUUGCUAAGCGUGCGGUGAAAGCCCGGGGCUCAACUCCGGGUCGGCCGUGCGAACUGGCAGGCUUGAGCACGGUAGAGGCCGAUGGAAUUCCGGGUGUAGCGGUGGAAUGCGUAGAGAUCCGGAAGAACACCGGUGGCGAAGGCGGUCGGCUGGGCCGUUGCUGGCACUGAUGCGCGACAGCGUGGGGAGCAAACAGGAUUAGAUACCCUGGUAGUCCACGCCGUAAACGAUGGGCACUAGGUCCUUGGGGGAGCGACCCUCUGAGGGCCGGCGCUAACGCAUUAAGUGCCCCGCCCUGGGGAGUACGGCCCGCAGGCUGAAACUC